CAUACAGAAAUGGGCAACUGCUUUCUGUUUUAGCUUCUUUCUCCUUUUUCUCUUUUGCAUAGCUUUAUGGCUCUCACUGAAGGUGAAACUAGGAAAAUACUUCACCCAGAGAAAAAAAUAGGUGCGCCCCAGAGAGUUUAUGGUACAUAAAUUGGUAACAAGUUCAUAGUGGAUUCAAGAUAGAGAAACACUUCACGGAGAUGCAAGAAAUAAGAAAGGCUACCAUGUUGGGAGCCUCUGUUCACGGAAGAACUAUCAGAGGUGAAAUUAUUCUCCCCCCAGAAAUUAUAAAAUUAGUCAAUGAAUCGGGGCGCCUGGGUGGCUCAGUCGGUUAAGCCACCGACUUGGGCUCAGGUCAUGAUCUCACGCUCCGUGAGUUCGAGUCCCGCGUCGGGCUCUGUGCUGACUGCUCGGAGCCUGGAGCCUGCUUCGGAUCCUGUGUCUCCUCUCUCUGCCCCUCCCCAACUUGUGCUCUGUCUCUCUAUGUCUCUCAAAAAAUAAAUAAAUGUCAAAAAAAAAUUUAAAUUAGUCAAUGAAGAACUGAUUUGAUUUCCAUACGUCUAUUUUAUCACCCAACUGGGAAAAAGGUGUGAUGCUUGAUUCUGUGUAAGUUCACAACUCGGGUAACUUACUAGCACUUUUUUUUUUUCUC